UACGGAGGAUGCAAGCGUUAUCCGGAUUCAUUGGGUUUAAAGGGUGCGCAGGCGGAAUGUUAAGUCAGUGGUGAAAGCCUACAGCUCAACUGUAGAACUGCCAUUGAUACUGACAUUCUUGAGUAUUGUUGAGGUAGGCGGAAUGUGUCAUGUAGCGGUGAAAUGCUUAGAUAUGACACAGAACACCGAUCGCGAAGGCAGCUUACCAAGCAAUAACUGACGCUCAUGCACGAAAGCGUGGGGAUCAAACAGGAUUAGAUACCCUGGUAGUCCACGCCGUAAACGAUGAUCACUCGAUGUUGGCGAUACACAGUCAGCGUCUUAGCGAAAGUAUUAAGUGAUCCACCUGGGGAGUACGGUCGCAAGAUUGAA
rnacentral:rRNA from 1 species